rnacentral:rRNA from 1 species
CCUACGGGGGUCAGCAGUGGGGAAUAUUGCGCGAUGGGGGCAACCCUGACGCAGCAACGCCGCGUGAUUGAAGAAGGCCUUCGGGUUGUAAAGAUCUUUAAUCAGGGACGAAAAAUGACGGUACCUGAAGAAUAAGCUCCGGCUAACUACGUGCCAGCAGCCGCGGUAAAACGUAGGGACAAAGCGUUAUCCGGAUUUACUGGGUGAAAAGGGCGUGUAGGCGGGCCUGUAAGUCAGAAGUGAAAUCUGGGGGCUUAACCCCCAAACUGCUUUUGAAACUGCGGGUCUUGAGUGAUGGAGAGGCAGGCGGAAUGCCCAGUGUAGCGGUGAAAUGCGUAGAUAUUGGGAGGAACACCAGUGGCGAAGGCGGCCUGCUGGACAUUAACUGACGCUGAGGCGCGAAAGCGUGGGGAGCAAACAGGAUUAGAUACCCGAGUAGUC